rnacentral:rRNA from 1 species
GANGAACGCUGGCGGCGUGCUUAACACAUGCAAGUCGAACGGACCCUUCGGGGUUAGUGGCGGACGGGUGAGUAAAGCGUAAGAACCUGCCCAUAGGACGGGGACAACAGUUGGAAACGACUGCUAAUACCCGAUGUGCCGAGAGGUGAAACAUUUAUGGCCUGUGGAGGGGCUUGCGUCAGAUUAGCUAGUUGGUAGAGUAAGAGCCUACCAAGGCGACGAUCUGUAGCUGUUCUGAGAGGAUGAUCAGCCACACUGGGACUGAGACACGGCCCAGACUCCUACGGGAGGCAGCAGUGGGGAAUUUUCCGCAAUGGGGGCAACCCUGACGGAGCAACGCCGCGUGUGGGAGGAAGGUUUUAGGACUGUAAACCACUUUCCUCAGGGAAGAAUUCUGACGGUACCUGAGGAAUAAGCAUCGGCUAAUUCCGUGCCAGCAGCCGCGGUAAU